rnacentral:rRNA from 1 species
GACGAACGCUGGCGGCGUGCUUAACACAUGCAAGUCGAACGGAAAGGCCCUGCUCUUGUGGGGUGCUCGAGUGGCGAACGGGUGAGUAACACGUGAGUAACCUGCCCUUGACUUUGGGAUAACUUCAGGAAACUGGGGCUAAUACCGGAUAGGAGCUCCUGCUGCAUGGUGGGGGUUGUAAAGUUUCGGCGGUUGGGGAUGGACUCGCGGCUUAUCAGCUUGUUGGUGGGGUAGUGGCUUACCAAGGCUUUGACGGGUAGCCGGCCUGAGAGGGUGACCGGCCACAUUGGGACUGAGAUACGGACCAGAAUCCUACGGGAGGCAGCAGUGGGAAAUAUUGCACAAUGGGCGGAAGCCUGAUGCAGCAACGCCGCGUGCGGGAUGACGGCCUUCGGGUUGUAAACCGCUUUCGCCGGUGACGAAGCGUGAGUGACGGUAAUGGGUAAAGAAGCACCGGCUAACUACGUG